rnacentral:rRNA from 1 species
AGGGCACCACCAGGAGUGGAGCCUGCGGCUUAAUUUGACUCAACACGGGAAAACUCACCCGGCCCGGACACUGGAAGGAUUGACAGAUUGAGAGCUCUUUCUUGAUUCAGUGGGUGGUGGUGCAUGGCCGUUCUUAGUUGGUGGAGUGAUUUGUCUGGUUAAUUCCGAUAACGAACGAGACUCUAGCCUACUAAAUAGGUCGUCGGCUUACAAACGCCGGCGAGACUUCUUAGAGGGACAGGCGGUGAUUCAACCGCACGAAACAGAGCAAUAACAGGUCUGUGAUGCCCUUAGAUGUCCGGGGCCGCACGCGCGCUACACUGAAGUGAUCAGCGUGCUUUUUCAACCUACUCUGUCAAGAGUGGGGAACCCAAUGAACCUUCUUCGUGAUUGGGAUAGGGGAUUGUAAUUGUUCCCCUUGAACGAGGAAUUCCCAGUAAGCGCGAGUCAUAAGCUCGCGUUGAUUACGUCCCUGCCCUUUGUACACACCGCCCGUCGCUACUACCGAUUGAAUGUUUU